ACCUAGAAAUUCUCUCUUAGGAGCUGAUCAAACUCAAACUAAGAAUUUUUUUACACAUGGUUCAGCCAGAGAAGCAGAACAACUGGAAGAUAAUUAGAAUUAUCAGCCUGUGCCACCCCCAUCAUGUGUCUCUAAAGACCCCAGACUCAGUCAGUAGAGGGGAGAUGGCCUGACUUUGGGGAGGAGACAGCCUGACUUCAGGCAAGAGAUGGCCUGACUUCGGGACAAAGACCUCCUGUCUUCGGGGGAAGACAACGAGGGGCCCUUCCCAUCCCCUCUCCAACUCCCCUCUCCGCUGAAAGCUGUUUUCAUCACUCAAUAAAAUUCUCUGCCCCCACCAUCCUUCAA
rnacentral:antisense_RNA from 1 species